rnacentral:tRNA from 1 species
GGCCCCUUCGUCUAGCGGUUAGGACGCUGCCCUCUCAAGGCAGAGAUCACGGGUUCGACUCCCGUAGGGGCCGCCA